rnacentral:tRNA from 1 species
GCGCCCGUAGCUCAGUUGGUUAGAGUAUCGCCUUGACAUGGCGGGGGUCGGCAGUUCGAGUCUGCCCGGGCGCACCA